UACGUAGGGGGCAAGCGUUGUCCGGAAUCAUUGGGCGUAAAGAGCGUGUAGGCGGCCCGAUAAGUCCGCUGUGAAAGUCCAGGGCUCAACCCUGGAAUGCCGGUGGAUACUGUCGGGCUCGAGUCCGGAAGAGGUGAGUGGAAUUCCUGGUGUAGCGGUGAAAUGCGCAGAUAUCAGGAAGAACACCCGUGGCGAAGGCGGCUCUCUGGGACGGUACUGACGCUGAGACGCGAAAGCGUGGGGAGCGAACAGG
rnacentral:rRNA from 1 species